GACGAAGGUGGCGAGCGUUGUUCGGAAUCACUGGGCAUAAAGCGCACGUAGGCGGCGGCGUAAGUUGGAUGUGAAAUCCCCCGGCCCAACCGGGGAACUGCGUCCAGUACUGCGUUGCUUGAGGAUCCAAGGGGUGCAUGGAAUUCCCGGUGGAGCGGUGAAAUGCGUAGAUAUCGGAAGGAACACCAGUGGCGAAAGCGGCUUCCUGGUCCAGCACCGACGUUCAGGCACGAAAGCGUGGGGAGCAAACAGG
rnacentral:rRNA from 1 species